CGGGUCGUGGUUCCCGCCUUCCAGGGGCUGGAGGCUCUGUUGCCAGGGCAGCGGCGGCGUCGCUUCUGGGAAGGGCAGUGAUAGCAAAUAUUGCAGAAAUGACUUCAAACAUAUGGAACAUUAGAGAGAUGUUAAGCAUCCCAACAGGACCUGGGAUGACUAAAUCUGCCACUCGGAAUAGUGCUCCCAGUGACCAUUGCAGUUUGACUGAUUCUCAGUUUCUUUUUGGAUCACAAUUUUGUCCUGAAAAUUCAGAGUCUCAGGAUUUUAACUUGCCUUCAAGAACCCAG